rnacentral:misc_RNA from 1 species
AAAAUAACUAUUAUCGACUAAAAUCAUAAGGUAGGCCUUACUCCUACAUAAAUAGGCUCCUCUACCAUAAUCCUCUAGCAUCGUUGUAUCUCAUUCCUAACUAUAUCAAGAUAGUGCAUAAGCUUGUUUCUAAGAAACUAAAAUGUCUAACAACUGUCAUUUUAGCAAUCCAGCAAGCUGCUUCCAUCAAUAGUGCUGGAUACAGAAAGUCAACAAUAAUUAAAAGUGCUACAGUACAAACAUAUCAAUGAACAGGGCCUGUUAUCAAACGCAGUUGUCAAACUGGGGACCAGGAGAAAAAGACGUUUAGCUUUUGAGCCUAUUGUUUGUCCAUAGGGAGCUGGGCCAAU